rnacentral:rRNA from 1 species
GCAGCCGGCUAACUCUGUGCCAGCAGCCGCGGUAAUACAGAGGGUGCAAGCGUUAAUCGGAUUUACUGGGCGUAAAGCGCGCGUAGGCGGCUAAUUAAGUCAAAUGUGAAAUCCCCGAGCUUAACUUGGGAAUUGCAUUCGAUACUGGUUAGCUAGAGUGUGGGAGAGGAUGGUAGAAUUCCAGGUGUAGCGGUGAAAUGCGUAGAGAUCUGGAGGAAUACCGAUGGCGAAGGCAGCCAUCUGGCCUAACACUGACGCUGAGGUGCGAAAGCAUGGGGAGCAAACAGGAUUAGAUACCCUGGUAGUCCAUGCCGUAAACGAUGUCUACUAGCCGUUGGGGCCUUUGAGGCUUUAGUGGCGCAGGCUAACGCGAUAAGUAGACCGCCUGGGGAGUACGGUCGCAAGAAUAAAACUCAAAUG